GUGCAAGCCGGAGGAAGGUGGGGAUGACGUCAAAUCAUCAUGCCCCUUAUGACCUGGGCUACACACGUGCUACAAUGGAUAGUACAAAGGGUCGCGAAGCCGCGAGGUGGAGCUAAUCCCAUAAAACUAUUCUCAGUUCGGAUUGUAGGCUGCAACUCGCCUACAUGAAGCCGGAAUCGCUAGUAAUCGUGGAUCAGCAUGCCACGGUGAAUACGUUCCCGGGCCUUGUACACACCGCCCGUCACACCACGAGAGUUUGUAACACCCGAAGUCGGUAGGGUAACCUUUAUGGAGCCAGCCGCCGAAGGUGGGACAGAUAAUUGGGGUGAAGUCGUAACAAGGUAGCCGUAUCGGAAGGUGCGGCUGGAUCACCUCCUUUCUAAGGAA
rnacentral:rRNA from 1 species